rnacentral:rRNA from 1 species
UACGAAGGGGGCUAGCGUUGUUCGGAAUCACUGGGCGUAAAGGGCGCGUAGGCGGCUUUAUAAGUCGGGGGUGAAAGCCUGUGGCUCAACCACAGAAUUGCCUUCGAUACUGUUAGGCUUGAGACCGGAAGAGGUUGGUGGAACUGCGAGUGUAGAGGUGAAAUUCGUAGAUAUUCGCAAGAACACCAGUGGCGAAGGCGGCCAACUGGUCCGGUACUGACGCUGAGGUGCGAAAGCGUGGGGAGCAAACAGG